rnacentral:rRNA from 1 species
AUGAACUUGCCAGAACCCAUACCCUCGAGCAACGAGUACUUAAUCACCUCAAAGUUGUGGGCGGCGGUGACACACUCGGUCAGCCAUCUCGAGGACGUCUCAGGUAUGGGCUUGUUAAUUGCAGACGUUAAAAUGUUACCCAUGUUGCGGAAGCUGGAAAGGAAUCAAACGGAAACUUUCAGGAUGUGGCUGUAUCCUGUGACUAACAAUGAAGGGAGAUCAGGGGGCAUGCAUGUGGAAAUGAUGGAUCUGCAUCACACAAUGAAGGGAUUCGCAUCACAUAAUCAAGGGAGAUCAAAUGGUCUCAGGUUCGUGGUGAGCCGUGGCGCUGUGAAGUCGGAGGAGAUGUUGAGCAGCGGGCCGGCGAUGACUGCAAGCGACGGCUGGAAGAAGAAGAAGCCCUAG